rnacentral:rRNA from 1 species
UACGGGGGGGGCAAGCGUUGUUCGGAAUUACUGGGCGUAAAGGGCUCGUAGGCGGCCAACUAAGUCAGACGUGAAAUCCCUCAGCUUAACUGGGGAACUGCGUCUGAGACUGGCAAGCUCGAGUGCAGGAGAGGAACGCGGAAUUCCAGGUGUAGCGGUGAAAUGCGUUGAUAUUCACAGGAACUCCGGUGGCGAAGGCGAGGUGCUGGACCAAUACUGACACUGAAACGCGAAAGCCAGGGGAGCAAACGGG